UUUAAAUAAAGCGAUGAGUUUCUGUGUCAAAUUUUAAUCAUUCGUCUUAUUUAAAAUAUUUUUAUAAUUAAUAUUUUUUUAUUAGAUGUUAAAAUAUAAAUAGUACUUUAUGCGUGAUUCAUAUUUUUUAUUUUUUAAAUAAGUCAGACAAUUAAAAUUGGACGAAGAAACUGAUAGCUGCAUCUAAA
rfam:Oryza sativa Japonica Group DNA, chromosome 3, cultivar: Nipponbare, complete sequence.